AAAGGGGCCCAGCAAUGGGCACCGGCGGACGGGUGCGUAACGCGUACACAACAUACCUUUAAGUGGGGGAUAGCAUUGGGAAACUGAUGGUAAUACCCCAUAAUAAUAUUGGGAGGCAUUUCCUGAUAUUUAAAGCUCCGGCGCUUAGAGAUUGGUGUGCGUCCGAUUAGCUAGUUGGUGAGGUAACGGCUCACCAAGGCGACGAUCGGUAGGGGGUGUGAGAGCAUGACCCCCCACACGGGUACUGAGACACGGACCCGACUCCUACGGGAGGCAGCAGUAAGGAAUAUUGGACAAUGGAGGGAACUCUGAUCCAGCCAUGCCGCGUGAAGGAUGAAGGCGCUCAGCGUUGUAAACUUCUUUUGGAUGGGAACAAUAACUUCUACGUGUAGGAGCUUGAGGGUACCAUCAGAAUAAGCACCGGCUAACUCCGUGCCAGCAGCCGCGGUAAUACGGAGGGUGCAAGCGUUAUCCGGAAUCACUGGGUUUAAAGGGUGCGUAGGCGGUGGCGUAAGUCAGUUGUGAAAUUCCCCGGCUUAACCGGCGGGACUGCGAUUGAUACUGCGUCACUUGAAUCAGGAUGAGGUAGGCGGAAUGUGACAUGUAGCGGUGAAAUGCUUAGAUAUGUCAUAGAACACCGAUUGCGAAGGCAGCUUGCUGGACCUGUAUUGACGCUGAGGCACGAAAGCGUGGGGAGCAAACAGGAUUAGAUACCCUGGUAGUCCACGCCCUAAACGAUGUUUACUUGCUGUGCGGUCUUCGGAUUGCGUGGCGAAGCGAAAGCGAUAAGUAAACCACCUGGGGAGUACGCCGGCAACGGUG
rnacentral:rRNA from 1 species